AAUUGUCUAUAUUUAUGUAGGAAAUAUAAGAUAUAAUCUAUAUACCUUCACCAUUGUCUCAUGUAUUGCAGGCUUAUCAAGAUAUUCUCUAGCUUUGAGAGCUGCAUAAGGCUAAUGAUUAAAAAAAGAAAAAAUGGAGAUUCUAAAGAUCAUCAUCCAAAUGCACCAAAAUUUAGAGUAAGAUCGAACCACUAUUAAUGAAGGUAUUCUACUGGGCUAGGAUGCUUGUUGUUUGGAUAUGGAGCCAUGGAAGAACUUGGACCCUUCCGUGUUAACAGUGAUGGAAAAACACUCUACCCCAACCACUAUGCAUGGAACAAUGGUGCAUGCCUAACCCUAUAAAACCUUUGCUUUUGAGGUACUAAUUGUUUUCUCCUGGAAUUUUUUUUGCCUGAGAUUUUUUGCUGCCAGCUAUCUCUUCGGGACCACUCUUAUGUAUUAUGUUAAAAGCACCAAUUCAGAAAUUUGCUGAUUAUCUUUUAGGUGUUGGUGUCAAGCUUGUUGGCAAUACAGUGUGGAGUACCCUCUUUCAUCAAUUCUUAAUAGUGAUGUCACGUGAGAAAUCAUUUUUCUUUUUGUUAAACAAGUCUUUAUUAUCAUGUAUUAGGUCAUACCAUGGGUAAAAACAGCCUUGCCCCUGGUUCCGGGGUUGUCACAAAAUACUUGACUUUUUAACUUUGUUUGUGGUUUCAUUUAGUAAUAAUCCUUCUGAGGGGGUGUUUGUUGGGCUGCUUCUUUCAAUGUCA